AGAACGAACGCUGGCGGCAGGCCUAAUACAUGCAAGUCGAACGCACUCUUCGGAGUGAGUGGCAGACGGGUGAGUAACGCGUGGGAACCUUCCCAAUGGUACGGAAUAACUCCGGGAAACCGGCGCUAAUACCGUAUAAGCCCCUCGGGGGAAAGAUUUAUCGCCAUUGGAUGGGCCCGCGUCGGAUUAGCUAGUUGGUAAGGUAAUGGCUUACCAAGGCUACGAUCCGUAGCUGGUCUGAGAGGAUGAUCAGCCACACUGGGACUGAGACACGGCCCAGACUCCUACGGGAGGCAGCAGUAGGGAAUCUUGGACAAUGGGCGAAAGCCUGAUCCAGCCAUGCCGCGUGAGUGAAGAAGGCCUUAGGGUUGUAAAGCUCUUUUGGCGGGGACGAUAAUGACGGUACCGCAGAAUAAGCCCGGCUAACUUCGUGCCAGCAGCCGC
rnacentral:rRNA from 1 species